rnacentral:rRNA from 1 species
CCUACGGGAGGCAGCAGUGGGGAAUAUUGCACAAUGGGGGAAACCCUGAUGCAGCGACGCCGCGUGAGUGAAGUAGUAUUUCGGUAUGUAAAGCUCUAUCAGCAGGGAAGAAAAUGACGGUACGUGACUAAGACGCCCCGGCUAAAUCCGUGCCAGCAGCCGAGGUAAUAUGUCGGGGGCAAGCGUUAUCCGGAUUUACUGGGUGUAAAGGGAGCGUAGACGGCAUGACAAGUGAGACGUGAAAGCCUGGGGCUCAACCCUGGGACGGCUUUUGAAACUGCCGAGCUGGAGUGAAGGAGAGGUAAGCGGAAUUCCUGGUGUAGCGGUGAAAUGCGUAGAUAUUAGGAGGAACACCAGUGGCGAAGGCGGCUUACUGGUCUGUAACUGACGUUGAGGCACGAAAGCGUGGGGAGCAAACAGGAUUAGAUACCCGGGUAGUC